UGCCUACGGGGGGCAGCAGUGAGGAAUAUUGGUCAAUGGCCGAGAGGCUGAACCAGCCAAGUCGCGUGAGGAAUGACGGCCCUACGGGUUGUAAACCUCUUUUGUCGGGGAGCAAAGAGAGUCACGUGUGGCUCAUUGAGAGUACCCGAAGAAAAAGCAUCGGCUAACUCCGUGCCAGCAGCCGCGGUAAUACGGAGGAUCCGAGCGUUAUCCGGAUUUAUUGGGUUUAAAGGGAGCGUAGGUGGAUUGUUAAGUCAGUUGUGAAAGUUUGCGGCUCAACCGUAAAAUUGCAGUUGAAACUGGCA
rnacentral:rRNA from 1 species